rnacentral:rRNA from 1 species
UACGAAGGGGGCUAGCGUUGUUCGGAAUUACUGGGCGUAAAGCGCGCGCAGGCGGUUUUCCAAGUCAGUGGUGAAAGCCCGGAGCUCAACUCCGGAAAUGCCAUUGAAACUGUAAAACUUGAGGACGAGAGAGGUGAGUGGAAUUCCCAGUGUAGAGGUGAAAUUCGUAGAUAUUGGGAAGAACACCGGUGGCGAAGGCGGCCUGCUGGGCAGUAGCUGACGCUGAUGCGCGACAGCGUGGGGAGCAAACAGG